rnacentral:rRNA from 1 species
GGUUUGAUUAUGGCUCAGAUUGAACGCUGGCGGGAUGCUUUACACAUGCAAGCCUGAACGCAGCGCCAGACCGGUCUGUGGCGAGUAAGAACGGUGAGUAAUGUGUAUCGGAACGUGCCUAGUAGCGGGGGAUAACUACGCGGAAAGCGUAGCCAAUACCGCAUACGCCCUUCGGGGGAAAGCGGGGGACCUUCGGGCCUCGCACCAUUAGGGAGCGGCCGAUAUCGGACGAUGUAGUUGGCGGGUAACGGCUCACCAAGGCGACGAUCCGUAGCUGGUUUGAGAGGACGACCAGCCACACCAAUUGAGACACGGCCCAGACUCCUACGGGAGGCAGCAGUGGGGAAUUUUGGAUAAUGGGGGAAAUCCCCUGAUCCAGCCAUCCUGGCGCAUGAAGGCCUUCGGGUUGUAAAGCACUUUUGGCAGGAAAGAAAACGGCACGGGAUAAUACCCCGUGCAACUGACGGUAUUCUGCAGAAUAAGCACCGCCAACUACGCCAGCAGCCGCGGCAGCGGCAGGUGCGCGUUAAUCGGAAUUAUCAAGUGGUAAGGUGGUGCAGGCGGUUCGGAAAGAAGAUAAUUCCAGAGCUUAACUUUGGAACCAUUUUAACUACUGAGCUAGAGUGUCAGAGGGAGGUGGAAUCUGCGGUAGCAGGAAUGGCAGAUAUGGAGGUCAAUUGAUAUGAAGGCAGCCUCUGGAUAACACUGACGCUCAUGCACCAAAGUGGAGCAACAGGAUUAGAUACCCUGGUAGUCCACGCCCUAAACGAUGUCAACUAUUGUUGGGGCCUCGGGCCUGGCAGCAGCGUUCGCAGCUGACCGUCUGGGGAGUACGGUCGCAAGAUUAAACCUGAAGAAUGAUUGGGACCCUGCUGUGGAUGAUGAUGAUUGUUCUGAUGUUCGCUAAAACCUCUUACCUGCCUUGACAUGUCUGGAAUCCUGAAGAGAUUUGGGAGUGCUCGCAAGAGAACUGAACACAGGUGCUGCAUGGCUGUCGUCACUCGUGUCGUGAGAUGCUGUUAAGUCCAGCAAUCGAGCGUAACCCUUGUCAUUAGUUGCUACGAAAGGGCACCAAUGAGACUGCCGGUGACAAACCGAGGAAGGUGGGGAUGACGUUGUCCCGCUACUCAAGUGGUAGGGCUUCACACGUCAUACAAUGGUCGGGACAGAGGGCCGCCAACUCAUGAGGGGAGCAAUCCCGGGCAGAACCUGAUCAGCCUGGAUCGGCCCGUAAACCUGAAUGCGUGAAGUCGGAACGCUAGUGACUGCGGAUCAGCAUGUCGCGGAAGAACAUGUUCUGGUCCUGUAUUGACACCACUGGGCCGUACCAUGUGGGAGUGGUCACCUAAAGUAGUUAGCCUGACCCGUAAGGCGAGGGCGAUUACUACGGUAGGAUUCAUGACUGGGUAAGUCGUAAUGAAGGUAG